rnacentral:lncRNA from 1 species
AGAAGGGCCAAAGAUUAUAGAACCUAGUGUCACCAUGGUCAUUGCUUCUUCCUUCCCCCCAUUCCAGAAACAGAAAAGGAAAAGUCCUGUUGUCAAGACCUCCAAGGACAAGAACCAGUGAAGCCUGGUAACAAACACAUUAUGCUUUGAAGAUCUGCCAGUUAACAGCUGUGUGGUCUCUCUCCGAUUAACAUCUCUCAGCCCUUUUUUCACCUUUAUGAGAUGGGGAUUAUAAUACCACAUCCCUUGUAGGGCCAUUGUGAGGAUUGAAUGAGCUAAUGCAUGCCCACGUGCCCACCUCAUGGUGGGAGCAAGCCAUUGCCUCCCCCUCAGAGGACCCAGUGGAGAGAAGGUUGACAGCUUGGCAUUCUCUUUGGAAUGGCUGUUGACUUCGCACUGCCAUCCACAGAAGAGCUCCAUAACCCCACCCAAGGGCACGGAAUGGCCUUUCCUUAAAGGUGAAGCACAACAUCAUUCUCAAGUGCCUUUGCAAAUGUAUGUGAACAGUCUUUCAAGGCUCAUAUCAAGAAGUCUCCAGUUCACACUCCUGUCCCAAUAUCCAGUGCCCGACAUUGAGCCCCUGGGGCUUUCUGAUCAAGAGUGGGGAGGACAACCAGCCAGAGUGGGCAGCUGAGGUCACCUGGAGUAAUUAAUCCUAAAGUUUACUGGUGCCUGUUCUGCUGGGGAGCAGGAAUCCAAUUACCCACAGUGACAGCAGCUUAGUCCCUGGGGAGAUACUCAUCUGCAGGGCGGCCAACAACCUGUCCACCUGAAAUCUUCCCGAGAAGCAACACCAACCUCCACCCCCUUCACUUUCUCCGCACACCCUAGCCAGGCACAGACCUCAGCUAACCAGGACAUUGCCCAGGCCACACUGCCUGGGUUGUGGUACAAAGGAGUGAAUUCUGGGAGAUUGGACCAGGACAGCUUCUAGAGGUCUCCUAACAAGAACCCAUUUCUCCUGUAGAACGAAGACCAGAACUGGUCAUUUACCCAGGCCGAGCCAG